rnacentral:lncRNA from 1 species
UUUUUUUACACUGUUUUACAUUUAAGUUUUUUUUUACACCAUUUUGCAUGUAAGAUUCAGGGUUUCUUUUUUUUUUUUUACACCGUUUUGCUUGUAGUGUUUAGGGUUUUGGUUUUCUUACACCGUUUUGGGUGUAGGGCUUGGUUUAGGUUUUUUUACACCAUUUUGCAUGUAAUUUUUUUUUACACAGUUUCGCUGGUAGAGUUUAGGUUUUAGGUUUUUUUACAUGGUUUUACGUGCAAGGUUUUUUCUUUAUUUUAUACCGCUUUGAAUGUAGGGUUUAGGGUUUAGAGGGUCAUGUCCUAUUGUAGAUAACGAGAAUAAUGAUGGUGAUGACAUUUAUAGGACAUAGUGUUGGGUCGAUGUCGUUGAUGGGAAGAAAAAGGGACGGGUCUAUGAUGCAGGACAACUUGAUACAAAUUACAUAGCAAAAAGAGGUUCUCUCAAGCACCAAGCAUCUCCUUCCAUCAGUGUUAAUGAGAUUGUUGUCCACCUCACGCAAUAACUAGAACAAUGUUACCAGGAAUACAACGAAUAAAGGGAUUAGUUUACUAGUUUUAAACAAUUCAUCAUGAGAUUGCUGCCUAAGACUUCACAACUUCAGCCCACCGUCCCUCCGACCCAAUUAUGACCCUCUCCAUCACCUGUCGUCCCAGAGCACCCCACAUCAGUCCAACCCUGUAACAUCCCAAUAAAUAUAGCUUUAAAACUAUAGUUUACUUUUAGGAGUUAACAAAAACAAUAAAAGAGAACAAUGGCGAAUAAGCAAGUAAAGAGAAAGGAAUAUGAAAUUUCAUAUAGAAUUUAAAACUUUUACAAGAACUAGAAAUCUGAUAGAAUACACAAGCUGA